UACGGGGGGAGCAAGCGUUGUUCGGAUUUACUGGGCGUAAAGGGCGCGUAGGCGGCCAGCACAAGUCAGUUGUGAAAUCUCCGAGCUUAACUCGGAAAGGUCAACUGAUACUGUGCGGCUAGAGUGCGGAAGGGGCAACUGGAAUUCCUGGUGUAGCGGUGGAAUGCGCAGAUAUCAGGAGGAACACCGAUGGCGAAGGCAGAUCUCUGGGCCGUAACUGACGCUGAGGAGCGAAAGCGUGGGGAGCGAACAGG
rnacentral:rRNA from 1 species